rnacentral:ncRNA from 2 species
CGCUAACAAGGUGAUGGCGUUCCACCUUACCCAACCGCCCCAUUAAGGGCUGAUGACGCCUGAUAUGAC